rnacentral:lncRNA from 1 species
GAGAAUUUUAUGUAUGAAUACUGUAUCUAUCUUAUUUCCUCCCUCCCUCUGCCCCUUCCAACUCUCCCCAUGCCUCUAUUAUUAAGUGUAUGGCUGCUUACUCUUUAAUUAUUGCUGUUUUACACACACACACACACACACACACACACACACACACACGAGUUCCUAUAUGUUCUUGUUCCUAUAUAUAUGGUAUAUGUAUUUAGGACUCACUGCAUGCAUGGGACUGGAAAACCGAACCGGGACACAUACCUGGAGAAGAUGAAUCCAAUCUCUCUCAGCCCCACUAAUUGCCUGUAGGGUUUAUCACUGGCUUGGAACUUGCCAAGUGGGCUAAGCUGACUGGCCAGCGAGUCUCAGAAAUCUAUUUGUCUUCCUAACAAACAUGCACUACUGCGGAUGAAUUCUUUUAAGAUGUGGGUUUUGGGGACUGAAACUCAGGUCCUCGUGCCUGCAUGGCAAGCUACCAUCCCAGCCCCACCGUGGUGACUUCAGUCAAUUGUCCCAUCUGGAUGUCCGACACGUAUCUUGCUGGUAGGUUGUAAAACAACUUCUGUUUUAGAUGGCAUGGCUAAAGCUUUCUAUGGGAUCAUAGAUCACUAGAUAAUACCCACAGUUUGCGUUAACCUGUGUGUUCCUAGUCAAAAUCCAUAGCAGUUGUCUGAGAUCAGGACCUCUGAGAAUAAUAAGAAACAGCAACAACUUGGAAGAACUGUGUGUGGGUAACAACGCUUACUGGAGAUCAGUUCUCUCCUCUCUGGUUUUGCUUUUGCUUAGAUCACCAACUUUCCUGCCUCUUUCUGGUGCCAAUUUUGAGGGCAGGAGGCUCCAAGGCAUUUUCUGGAACAGAAGAGCUCUGAGUGCCAUGUGUCUGCCUUUGAAUGCAGCUUGUCUCUCUGCUGGUCUCUUAAAGGGACCUAAAUGUGCAGUUUUUGCAAAACCUUCCCUCUGAGGCUCAUGCCUCCCCUCCUCUUUCAGAGAGAGCAGCAAACAGCUUGUGAGUUAUUUAUGACCUGGUUCGUGCCAAAGAGAGUUUGGUGGGAGCUGGGGGGCAGACUUCGGGGCCCUGUAGAAUGGUAGAGACUCUUCAGAGAAGUCCCAGUACCUUGGAUCCCGAGGAGAUGUGAAGCAGGGACAAAGCUGGAUUGGUGGCUCUGGUCACGUGACAGUACUCUGGCAGGCUAGGGUACAGAAAGGGGGACCUGACCUGGGGACUGUCUCCAAGAUCAGUGCUCAUGUCCAAUGUCUUCCUCCAGCAAGGCUCCUCAAUGGCAUCCUCUAAGUUUUCUCUCUUUCAGGGUACAAAAAUGACUAGAUUGGCUAAGAGUUAUACCAGGUAAUACUGGAGUGUGUUUCCAUUGUAACACUUCAAACCUCAAUGUGAGACAGGUAACUAAAGUGGACACUCAUAGACAGGAUAAACCACGGCGGAGCAUUCAUAGGUGACGACAGCUAAGUCAGACGCUCUUUUUGAGUUUACCAUCUAGAUGGGGUCUGAAGGGUCGAGCCAUACCUGCUGCAUCUCCACACUAAGAAGCAGCCGGUGUAAGCAGACAUCAUUCUGAACCUUCUGUGGUACUAUGACAACCAAAAAAAACCCUCACCGACUCCUGUGGAUCACCAGCCAGCUACUUCUUAGACCUGGGAGAUUGCUUUGCUUUGGCACUGCCCAAAGAUGGCAAAGCAAAGGACUCAAGGAGAGCAUUGGAAGGAAGAGCCCAAACCCUGGCACUUCAAUUGCUGGUAGAACAUAGGAGCAUCAGGGGCAUUUGGCUGUGAGGAGGAUGUUUCCAGCAAACAAGAAGAAGCCUCUGCUUGGAGAAGACGCAGGAGAUGGAGAGAUGAGUUCAUAAUACUACACACCAAGAAUCUGGAAAAUGGUCAAAAAUAUAAGUUCUAGUUCUUUCCAUAAAUAAAUGAUCAAUAGAAGAAAGAGGGGUGACAGGUAACAGGGGAGCUGUCACAGACAAAAGCUGAUGUUCCUUUAGGUCUGAAAGAGUAUUGUCAGCACAGAGUGGUUGCAGCAGUGACGUGUGGAGGGAGAAGAGGCACAUAAAUCAGCCUUUCCUUGUCUUUGAUUUUACUUCCUUCAUAGUCGUCCAAGGUCUAUAAACGCUAGGUGGAAACACUAAUAUCUAUCUAUCUAUCUAUCUAUCUAUCUAUCUAUCUAUCUAUCUAUCUAACACAUAUAUAUCACAUAUACACAUAUAUACAUAUAUACUAUAUACAUACAGUAUAUAUGCAUACACUAUAUUUACACUAUGUAUUUGCAAAUAUAUAUACAUUAAUAUGUAUGUGUAUAUAUAUGUGUAUAUACACACACACAUAUAUUUGCAACUGUACACUAGUGAGAAUAGCAUAAUGAAAUCUUGAGACAUCACACUUCAUCCCACCUAGAGUAUGAAUCAUCGUUCCUUUCAGUGUGUCUGCACAGUAUGUGCUACCUUAAUUAAUCAUUUAGUUGCCAUUGGUUACCAAAGUAGUGAUCUUAGUGUUUGCAUACAGGUACUCACCAGGGUCCUUAGAAUGUAUCUUCCUAUAGAUAUUAAUGGGGUGGGGAUCAGGAGCUACUGGACUCUGAUUCUCAUCUGUUAUUAACAUUUGUAUUGUUGCUCUAAGUGAUACCCACAGAUCCCAGCUACUGCUUGGUAAAUCUUAGCCCAUCCUCCUCCUUGGCUGGCUGAUGGGCUCAUACUUAUGUCUGAAAGAAGUCCCUCCUUGGGAGAUCUUCUCUGUCUGUUUAAUGCUAAGUAGCUGACACACCUCUACUCUGUUCAGUGGACCCUGUGGCUUGGCAUUUGUGACUAACCAUACACAGAUGUAUCUCAAUAUUUAAAAUGCUGGAGUGAAGAUCCCCAUGUCAUUAUAAAGAAUAGCUUAGAGAGAUCUGGAUCCUUUACCAGCCUCUCCUAGGCCAGUGUGUUCCAUCACAACUGUACAAUAGUACAAAUCAGGAAUCCGGCUUUGCUCAACCCACCUACCCAUCCUGCAUGAGUUCCAUGUGCAUGCUUCUCUCUCUCUCUCUCUCUCUCUGUAUAUGUAUGUGUGAGUGAGUGUGUGUGUGUGAGUGUGUGUGUGUGUGUGUGUUAUGAUUUUACCAAAUAGUGUCUACCCCAGUCAAGACACAGAAUAUUUCUGUAUCUUGGUUCCUGCUGAUUCUCUCCAUAUGUGUGCCUUUACUCCUGUACUUGUCCCUGCACUCUGUAACUGAUUGGGGCAGGAUCUCAGGUCUGAUAUCUAUACCCUGGUUCCAGUUAAAUCAGCUCCAAGCUCCCAGGGGGUCCUAUGUGAUCAGGAAUAAAUUGGAUUUCUCUCAGAGGAAAGGGAGUUAGAAAUCCAGAACUUUUUAUAGAUAAAAAUUGCUGCAAAAGGAAGAAAACCAUUGAAAGCCAAAAGCACUGAGGGGAUGCAGACCAUAGAGUCUUUCUUAUUGUAGAAGAUUUUAAAGACCCUGGUAGGCAAUGAAGGCUAUGCAUCGUCUUAAUAUUCUAGUGGUUUGCAGGACCCAAAUCUGCCCCAAGAAAGGCAUGAUUGUGUGUGCAAUCAGCAGGGAGUACUACUUCAUCUGGAUCUGACUCUGUCUCUAUUAUGUGUCUAUGAGGAUGGUCCUCAGGUUAACUGUCAGUCACAGACUUAUCCAGCGUCUUCAGUACCAGACCACUCUUAGAGAAGUUAACUUCUCUUGGACAGUGACGCACCCUGUCUGAAAUGUAGACAGAGCUGAGCAAGGAAUUGGGGUCAGUCAAUGCAAGACUCAUGUUUUCUCUUCUCCAGACCAUUUCACAGUGAACCUGGAAAGAAGUUCUCAUGCCCAGUUUCCAGGCCGGACUCUUGGGUACCAACCUACUGAUAACAGACUUUGCAGAGACUGUGUCGAAUGGCAAUGCUCCUCACAUGCACUUACAUGUGCCUGCUCAGUGCACAAAACCACAUGGGAGACUCCAGGAUACCAAACACUUUGAAGAACAGACAAUAGUCAAGUGUGUAGGUGAUGUUGAGUUCAUUCCAAGUCUAAGACAUGCAAAGGAGUGACCUGGGUGUAUUGCUGAGACCACGGGUCACAUCUUCACUAACUGGCAGCAUGCUGUAGAUUUUACCAGAAGUCACACUUAUGUGGAUGGAGAGGCUAGAUAAGUUUCUAAGUAAAGGAAACAGAGCACUUCUCUCUAUACACUGAGGACUGUCUGUGGAAGCCAGUUGCCACAAGACACACCACACCCUUUCCACAAGAAACCAAGACUUCGUGGACCCAAGCCUGCCUGUUUUGUCAAUAUCUUUGGAGUCAAAGUUGAGGCUGGGAGCUCUUGGCCACCAGUUCCAGCCACCGCAUCUACUGCUUUCUGCCAUGCUGCUUCUGUCAUUACAAACUCAAACCUGCUGGCACCAUAAGACAAAAUAAAUGAUUUUUUUAUGUCUAA